rnacentral:rRNA from 1 species
GAUGAACGCUGGCGGCGUGCCUAAUACAUGCAAGUCGAGCGAAUGGAUUAAGAGCUUGCUCUUAUGAAGUUAGCGGCGGACGGGUGAGUAACACGUGGGUAACCUGCCCAUAAGACUGGGAUAACUCCGGGAAACCGGGGCUAAUACCGGAUAACAUUUUGAACCGCAUGGUUCGAAAUUGAAAGGCGGCUUCGGCUGUCACUUAUGGAUGGACCCGCGUCGCGUUAGCUAGUUGGUGAGGUAACGGCUCACCAAGGCAACGAGGCGUAGCCGACCUGAGAGGGUGAGCGGCAACACUGGGACUGAGACACGGCCCAGAUUCCUACGGGAGGCAGCAGUAGGGAAUCUUCCGCAAUGGACGAAAGUCUGACGGAGCAACGCCGCGUGAGUGAUGAAGGCUUUCGGGUCGUAAAACUCUGUUGUUAGGGAAGAACAAGUGCUAGUUGAAUAAGCUGGCACCUUGACGGUACCUAACCAGAAAGCCACGGCUAACUACGUGCCAGCAGCCGCCGUAA